AGCUGGUCAGCGGCUCUGCGCCCGCAAGGUCAGCGUCGCCCUCCGGAGGCGAAAGCGCAGGUUCGAAUCCUGCCGGGGGCACCA
rnacentral:tRNA from 1 species